GGGUGGUUAGCUCAGUUGGUUAGAGCGCUCGCUUGACAUGCGAGAGGUUCACAGGUUCGAGUCCUGUACCGCCCACCA
rnacentral:tRNA from 11 species